AACGAACGCUGGCGGCAGGCCUAACACAUGCAAGUCGAGCGCGCCCUUCGGGGUGAGCGGUGGACGGGUGAGUAACGCGUGGGAACGUACCCUUUGCUACGGAAUAGCCUCGGGAAACUGAGAGUAAUACCGUAUACGCCCUUUGGGGGAAAGAUUUAUCGGCAAAGGAUCGGCCCGCGUUGGAUUAGGUAGUUGGUGGGGUAAUGGCCCACCAAGCCGACGAUCCAUAGCUGGUUUGAGAGGAUGAUCAGCCACACUGGGACUGAGACACGGCCCAGACUCCUACGGGAGGCAGCAGUGGGGAAUCUUAGACAAUGGGGGCAACCCUGAUCUAGCCAUGCCGCGUGAGUGAUGAAGGCCUUAGGGUUGUAAAGCUCUUUCAGCUGGGAAGAUAAUGACGGUACCAGCAGAAGAAGCCCCGGCUAACUCCGUG
rnacentral:rRNA from 1 species